ACCGUCAACUUGGCGUUUGCUGUUUCAAAAACAGAGGAAAGUCCGGACAACAAAUGGCAGGAUGCAAUCUAACGGAUUGCCGCAGUAAUGCGAGGGAAAGUGCAACAGAAAAUAUAUCGCCUUAUGUAAAAAUAAGGUAAGAGUGAAAAGGAGCGGUAAGAGCGCCCCGCGUACUUGGUGACAAGUGCGGCAGUGUAAACCCCAUCCGUUGCAAGGCAGAUUCAAUCAAGGCCGCCUGCCGCUGAAUCUUACGCCGCGUGAACUUGUUUGAAAAGACAAGUCAAGAUAGAUAAACGCCCACGACAUAAUCCGGCUUACGGUUGACCUUGAAA
rnacentral:RNase_P_RNA from 1 species